GUGACUGCCGGUGCAAGCCGGAGGAAGGUGGGGAUGACGUCAAAUCAUCAUGCCCCUUAUGACCUGGGCUACACACGUGCUACAAUGGAUAGUACAAAGGGUCGCGAAGCCGCGAGGUGGAGCUAAUCCCAUAAAACUAUUCUCAGUUCGGAUUGUAGGCUGCAACUCGCCUACAUGAAGCCGGAAUCGCUAGUAAUCGUGGAUCAGCAUGCCACGGUGAAUACGUUCCCGGGCCUUGUACACACCGCCCGUCACACCACGAGAGUUUGUAACACCCGAAGUCGGUAGGGUAACCUUUAUGGAGCCAGCCGCCGAAGGUGGGACAGAUAAUUGGGGUGAAGUCGUAACAAGGUAGCCGUAUCGGAAGGUGCGGCUGGAUCACCUCCUUU
rnacentral:rRNA from 1 species